CUAAAACAGUGGGUUCGGAGUCUGAAACCUAUAGAUCUUGUGUUGAUAUCUGUUUCUUCUCUUGCAUAUUCUACAAGAGAUUGGAGUUAAAUGACAGCACUACAUUU